GAAAAACUGCUACGGUUACACAAAGUCAGAGACUUUUGUCGUGCUCUCUCUAAAGACUUCUGCCUCCUUCCUCUACUCUCAUCCUCUCCAGGUUUGAAGCGGGAUGUAGCUUGAGUACUACAUAGGAGGGGAAGGGAUCUGAGCCAUCUUCAGGUGAAAUGGAGAGUUAUUGACCGGGUUCUCUCCAGCCUGCAUAGACGAUGAAAUCAUCCAUAAAGCCUGGAGAUUAAUUCGAAAAGAAGAGAAAUUGAGAGGAUAGAUUUUGAUUUUUUUAAUAGUUUCUUGAGUUACAAACAUUGAAACCACUUGCACAUUCUAGUAAAGCGAGUGCACGCGCCCGCAUUCCAUUACUCAAUUGGAAGGAUUUUGUCAAUUAUCAACUAUUUUGCAUAAAUGGAAGACUGGAUUUAUUUUUCAAAA